GACAUUAACGAGCUGAACCUGCCCAAGACGUGUGACAUCAGCUUCUCAGACCCAGACGACCUCCUCAACUUCAAACUGGUUAUCUGUCCUGAUGAAGGCUUCUACAAGAGCGGCAAGUUUGUGUUCAGCUUUAAGGUGGGACAGGGUUACCCACAUGACCCUCCCAAGGUGAAGUGUGAAACAAUGGUUUAUCAUCCCAACAUUGACCUCGAGGGCAACGUCUGCCUCAACAUCCUCAGGUGAGGGCACUGCCUUCCUUUCCCUCCCAAGGCUUGCCUUCUAGGAAUCCUCUCAGCCUUUGUGGAUGCUGCAUCCAUCUCUGUCCUUGCCUUUAUGGUCAGUCUGGGUUUCUGUCUUCCUUUUCAAGUUGUUUUUCUAGUGACCUGACCUUGGCUUUCUCCAUGACCUGCCCUGUUCCACAUCUUCCCCCUCACUCUUCAAUGUUAAUGGCCCUUCUAUGGGCCUGACCUGUUUCGUGUUAGCAGGGCCUGUGGCAACCUCCCACUCACCAGCCCCUGAUAACCUUGAUGCUCUCUGCCCACAGAGAGGACUGGAAGCCAGUCCUUACGAUAAACUCCAUAAUUUAUGGCCUGCAGUAUCUCUUCUUGGUAAGUAGGCAUAGACAUUUGAGGCUGAGGGCUUGUUGGCCAUCUCUGCCUCUCUUGCCUGUUGACUUCCACUUGUACUGGCCACAGGAGCCCAACCCCGAGGACCCACUGAACAAGGAGGCUGCCGAGGUCCUGCAGAACAAUCGGCGGCUGUUUGAACAAAACGUGCAGCGCUCCAUGAGAGGUGGUUACAUCGGGUCCACCUACUUCGAGCGCUGCCUGAAAUAGGGUUAGCAAUUACCCAUCCCUGCCAGGGUUACUGGCCCAGGCAUCCCCUGCAAAUAUUUAUUGGGGGCCCAGGUAGGGUGUGUGGGGUAGCCUUGGCCCCUGCCUUGGCCUUGCCUCUCCUCCCUGUCACCUGCCCCUAGUUAUUUUUUUUGACCACCACGUGAUUAUGGUCGGUGCUGCCUCCCCCGACCUGCUCAGCGAUGGGAAAUGAAUUGGCUUGUUUAGCGCCCCCCCUCCCGCUGGGUGCUGUCCAACCCCCCACUCUUGACUGUGGGGUAAGUGGGCAAUGGGCCUGGGUCACCAGGCUCAAGCAACCCACCCCACCACCACUGGAGGUCCCACCAGGCUAUUAAAGGGGAAUGUUACUGCAUGG
rnacentral:lncRNA from 1 species